GAUCUUCCUGGACCAGGGCUCGAACCCAUGUUCCCUUCUUUGGCAGGCGGAUUCUUAACCACUGUGCAAACAGGGAAGUCCCUGCCUGAUGUUUUCUGAUUCAGGUCAACAUAAGCUCCUUUCUGGUGCUUUCCCUGAAGCCUUGAUUUGAACUUGUUCUUUAGUGUUCUCAAAGCGUCUAUAUAUUUCUCUAUUAUUCUGCCGUAUCAUACUGUGUUAGUUUUAGGCUUUGUGAGGAGAGGUUCAGAGUAGGUUUUGCCCUAGAAUGUGGUCUUUACUCCUGAAGGCCUUUCUAGUGUCUGCUGGUCUGUGUUGUUAAUGUGAUUUCUUCACUUUGGCAGAG